rnacentral:rRNA from 1 species
UACGUAGGCAGCAAGCGUUGUUCGGAGUUACUGGGCGUAAAGGGUGUGUAGGCGGCCUGUUAAGUCCCGUGUGAAAUCCCUCGGCUCAACUGAGGAAUGGCACGGGAAACUGACGGGCUUGAGUUCGGGAGAGGGAAGCGGAAUUCCGGGUGUAGCGGUGAAAUGCGUAGAUAUCCGGAGGAACACCGGUGGCGAAGGCGGCUUCCUGGACCGACACUGACGCUGAGGCGCGAAAGACUAGGGGAGCAAACGGG